rnacentral:rRNA from 1 species
GUCAGACGAACGCUGGCGGCGUGCCUAAUACAUGCAAGUCGAGCGGACAGAAGGGAGCUUGCUCCCGGAUGUUAGCGGCGGACGGGUGAGUAACACGUGGGUAACCUGCCUGUAAGACUGGGAUAACUCCGGGAAACCGGAGCUAAUACCGGAUAGUUCCUUGAACCGCAUGGUUCAAGGAUGAAAGACGGUUUCGGCUGUCACUUACAGAUGGACCCGCGGCGCAUUAGCUAGUUGGUGGGGUAAUGGCUCACCAAGGCGACGAUGCGUAGCCGACCUGAGAGGGUGAUCGGCCACACUGGGACUGAGACACGGCCCAGACUCCUACGGGAGGCAGCAGUAGGGAAUCUUCCGCAAUGGACGAAAGUCUGACGGAGCAACGCCGCGUGAGUGAUGAAGGUUUUCGGAUCGUAAAGCUCUGUUGUUAGGGAAGAACAAGUGCGAGAGUAACUGCUCGCACCUUGACGGUACCUAACCAGAAAGCCACGGCUAACUACGUGCCAGCAGCCGCGGUAAUACGUAGGUGGCAAGCGUUGUCCGGAAUUAUUGGGCGUAAAGGGCUCGCAGGCGGUUUCUUAAGUCUGAUGUGAAAGCCCCCGGCUCAACCGGGGAGGGUCAUUGGAAACUGGGAAACUUGAGUGCAGAAGAGGAGAGUGGAAUUCCACGUGUAGCGGUGAAAUGCGUAGAGAUGUGGAGGAACACCAGUGGCGAAGGCGACUCUCUGGUCUGUAACUGACGCUGAGGAGCGAAAGCGUGGGGAGCGAACAGGAUUAGAUACCCUGGUAGUCCACGCCGUAAACGAUGAGUGCUAAGUGUUAGGGGGUUUCCGCCCCUUAGUGCUGCAGCUAACGCAUUAAGCACUCCGCCCU